CAAAUCAAACAUUUAUAAUAUAUAAUAUUAUAAAUAUGUGGUGUGAACGUGAGUAAAAAAUAGAUAUAUAAGAACUAUAAAUAAAGUUAAAUGCUUUAUAAUAUAUAUAUAUAUAAAUUAUAUAUAUAUAUAAAAGAAUAUAUUAUUAUAUAUAUUUGUUUAUAGUCUAAUCUAUAAUGGUUUAGAUAGUAGGUAUAUUAAUAGUUAUACCUAGUCUACGAUCCAUAAUCAAUAAUUAAUGUUAUAAUGAUCACGUUGAUAAUUAAAUAUAAUCAAUAUCUAUAUGAUACAGCAUGGGG
rnacentral:rRNA from 1 species